GGUUCAGUGGUGUAGUUGGUUAUCACGUCUGUCUCACAUGGUGACGUACACAGGAGGUCUCCGGUUCGAGCCCGGACUGAACCA